rnacentral:rRNA from 1 species
GAUGAACGCUGGCGGCGUGCCUAAUACAUGCAAGUCGAGCGAACAGAUGACAAGGGUGCUUCUCGGCUGUCAGCGGCGUACGGGUGAGGAAACCGUGGGCAACCCAGCGGUUAGCCUGGGAUAACUGCGGGUAACAGCGGCUAACCCCGGAUAAUAUUUUGAACCGCAUGGUACAAUGGUGUAAGACGGUACCGGCUGUCACUCACGGAUGGACCUGCGCCGUAUUAGCUAGUUGGUAAGGUAAUGGCUUACCAAGGCAACGAUACGUAGCCGAACUGAGAGGGUGAUCGGCCACACUGGAACUGAGACACGGUCCAAACUCCUACGGGAGGCAGCAGUAGGGAAUCUUCCGCAAUGGGCGAAAGCCUGACGGAGCAACGCCGCGUGAGUGAAGAAGGUCUUCGGAUCGUAAAACUCUGUUGUUAGGGAAGAACAAAUUUGAUAGUAACUGAUCAAGUCGUGACGGUACCUAGCCAGAAAGCCACGGCUAACUACGUGCCAGCCGCCGCGGUAA